AUGUACUCUUACCUCGAAAGAAACAUCUCUGGGUGCGAUUAUAGAUGGAUUUGGAAGGCCAAGCUCCCAACCAAAAUCCAAAUCUUUCUGGGGCAACUGUUUCAAGACGCAGUGUUGACUAGGGAUGUUAUGAAACGCAGGAAUUGGGCAGGCGACCCCCGCUGUUCGUUUUGUGAUUGUAGAGAGACCUACCUUCAUUUAUUCUUUUUGUGCCCUGUAGCUAGAACUAAAUGGCGGAUAGUAGGGGCGAUGCUUGGCACUGAUUUGUACCCUAACAAUCUGUAUCAAUUCUACUCUUGGUGUUCUGCUUUCCUUCCCCAUGGGAACGCCACUUCACUGUGGGAUUAG
rnacentral:rRNA from 1 species